rnacentral:rRNA from 1 species
UACGUAGGUGGCGAGCGUUGUCCGGAAUUACUGGGCGUAAAGCGUGCGUAGACGGUAGCGUAAGUCAGAUGUGAAAGCCCCGGGCUCAACCUGGGAAUUGCAUUUGAGACUGCUCUGCUCGGGUGCGGAAGAGGGAAGCGGAAUUUCCGGUGUAGCGGUGAAAUGCGUAGAUAUCGGAAGGAACACCAGUGGCGAAAGCGGCUUCCUGGUCCGACACCGACGUUCAGGCACGAAAGCGUGGGGAGCAAACAGG